rnacentral:pre_miRNA from 1 species
AGUGAGAUAGCUGGGUGAAAUUCCAAUUUUCUGAGGAAUCUCCAUACUGCUUUCCAUAGUGGUUGCACCAAUUUGCAGUCCCACCAGCAAU